UACGGAGGAUCCAAGCGUUAUCCGGAUUUAUUGGGUUUAAAGGGUGCGUAGGCGGCCUAUUAAGUCAGGGGGUGAAAGACGGUAGCUUAACUAUCGCAGUGCCUUUGAUACUGAUGGGCUUGAAUGAACUAGAGGUAGGCGGAAUGUGACAAGUAGCGGUGAAAUGCAUAGAUAUGUCACAGAACACCAAUUGCGAAGGCAGCUUACUAUGGUUUUAUUGACGCUGAGGCACGAAAGCGUGGGGAUCAAACAGG
rnacentral:rRNA from 1 species